GAGUACCCGAGAUCUUCCACUUUUUGAAUUAUUGAAUUCUAACCUUUUCCCCCCUUUUUUUCUCCACUUCUAGGCACAGAUCUCCUCACGGACGGAAUUAGACCAUAAAGUGCCUGUCUCUUCAACUAGUCGAUCUAGCCCUCCUAAGACUGAUGAAAAUACCAAUGCUAAAAGGAAAUUUGAUGCCCGAGAGAAAAUACUGGACCGUCGGAAACAAACUGAAACCAAGAGAAAAAAAUCACCUGUUGACAGCGAUUCUAAAGAGAGGUUGGCCCCUGCUGAGCAAUUAGAUCCUGUGUUGGAGGCACGGCGGCGAAAAUUUGAAAGCAAGAUGUAGUCAAACCUGUCCCAAAGAAGAUAAAAUUGAACGCUCUUAGUUCCAGUCAAGAGAAUCUCUCUAUCAGUGAAGACAAUUCUAGGAAACCUCUCACCGCUCAAAAUCCACUGAGAGAAGAGUUACCAAAUUGCUCAGACGAAAGAGAAUGAACCCUGCCUUUUUCCAAGAACAGGGUCCCCUUGCAGGUAUUCCCAUGAUGCAAGAGUUUCAAAAAAAGGUUACCCUCAUGGGCAGAGCCUCCAGAGCCCAACGAAUCUGAGGAGCUACCUGAGCUGCCCAUACGUAUUAAGCAAGAAAUUGAUAACGAUGCUGCUCUGACGAAUAUUAAUGACUUUACCCAACUCCAAAAUGAAUUUGCUCCCUCAUCGCGAGGUGAAGGCGUUGGAGAGAUGGAAGACUCAGCUUUAGUUAUCAAUUUUGAUCCGAUGGAAAUCAAUGAACCAGAGUUAUCGAGUGAUAAAGGAGGCAUCCAUAAAUUAUCGAUGAACAAAGUGAAUUCUUUUCCUCGUCAACCUAAUGAAUCAUCAGAUUCAGCAUCAAAACCCCUCAUCAAGUUGAAACCUCUCACCGAGUUGCUCGACAAAAGUGUUGUGAAAAAAAUCUCGAAGGUGAAGAAAAAGGAGGAGAAAGAAGAAAGGAAAAAGAGGAAAAAGGACAAGAAACACAAAGUAAGGGACCGAGAAAGCGAUGAAGAGAUGGAUCUGAGGAAUGAACUGAAACGACGGAGAGCUGAACGAAUGAAUCAGGCUGGGUCAGUGAACGAAAGUCUGCCAUCACGUCUUGUUCAGUCAGCAUUUGAAAGUGUUGUAGGAAAGUAAGUACUAUUUCUUUUCUUUCUUAUUUAGGGUUUCCUUAGAAAUCAGGGAAAUUUACUUUCUUAAUUCUGUGACAACUUUGAAUUUUCAUUCUUUAAUUGAUGAAGCCAAUUUUUAGGAGCAAUUUUUUUCAUUGUAAACUGAGUAGGUAAUUCUUUGUCACAGUUUUACAGAAGAGGUUCAUCAAAUUUCUCAUGUAUUUUUUCGAGCUCUCUGCUGUCAGUGGUGCUGCGUUGACUCAAGCCUAAAACAGUUGAAUUAUUACAGACUGCAAGAUGGAGGUUUAACGCAACAUGGCCAUUUUUUGGGCAAAUGUUGCACAUAGAAUGAUUUGAAGCAUAUUCCCACCAUUAAUUCAUCAUGUAUUAAAAGCUCUUGUGCCUAACACGUAUACAUAUAAAGGCUUGCUUAGGUUAAGAACUGCUGGUGACAUCUGUCUGCCUCUUUUAUGAUGGAAUCAUCUGGCCACAUUCUUUCUAAAAUGUAUGUUAAUUGCUCUGUGUAACUCUGUGGUUUUUUACUGUUUCAAGGAAAAAAUCUAAAAUCAAAGAGGAGAAACCAAAGAAGCACAAAGAUCAGUAAAAGAAGAAAAAAUUGGCAAAGGUAAAUAUAUUCAUUAUUUUUGUAUCCUUUAGAUUCUACAAGUUCUAUUGGAAUCGGUAAUUAAAAUCAAUUCACCAAAAAAGCUAUUGAUUUUCCUUUUUGCUUAAAAAGUAGUGCCAACAUAGUGGCAAUUACUGAUGUAAUUACUAAUACAGUAGAAACCGCAUAUAACAGAACGCAUCGGGAUCGGCCGAAUAUUACGUUAUAAGCGGGAUUCUGUUACAAGCGGUUUUCGCGUAAAUGUGGGCGAAACAACGGGACCGCGCGAAAAUUACGUUAUAAGCGGGAUUCUGUUUUAAACGUGUGUUGUUAUAAGCGGUUUCUACUGUAUUAGAUUUUCUUUGGGAAAUUUUCCACAGAAAAUCAGGAAAAUGCUAGUAGAUCAACACAUUCGAGGAUUUACAUAUCAAGCAUUUGAGUUGAAAGUGUUUAGUUUGAUUUUAAUUUGAUUAGAAAAUCGGGCGUAAGUUUUUCAGUCUUCAUCUUUGUCUUAAAACGUCCACCAAUUUACAAAAAGGUUGUCACAAGAUCCAAGAACAGCUUUGCAAACAGAAUCAUGCAAUAUUUUUCCAUUCGUAACAGGAUUUGAAUUUCGGUGACAUAGAAAGUUUUUUUCUCAGCUCGAACUCGACUAAAUGAAAAAUGGAAAAACAUUCUCGUUUAAAACCAACUUUCCAAAAAUGAAUUUAGAAAAAAUUGUGUCAACAGUCUCAUUGAACCUACUGAAUUACUAACAAGAACGUUUGGAACCACUAGUUCUAUUGAAAAACAGACAGAAUCAAUUGAUUGUUUUCUGUUUUGCAUGGAGUGAACAGUAAAUUUCAGGUUGCAGGAAAUGUUUUCUAUCGUAUCAACACCUUAAAUGUAUCAUUCUUCACAACAUUUUAUAUUUCUCUUUCUCAAACAUUUAUUGUUAUUUUUUCUUCUUUUUGUUAUUGGAACAUCAGUUUUGUUGUAACAUAAGUGAAUAAAUAAGUAUUUUGUAUUCCAGAUAGGCGAAGAGUUCUUGUAAUCAGCAGUAGUGCGAAGCAUCACCCUCAAGGCGGUCUGUCACCUGGUAAGGAAUCAUAACAUUUGUUUUAGAAUCGGAAUCAGAAAAGUCUCUCACAUUUAUUUUAGGGUCUGAACUCCACUGUGGCCACCAGAUUUGGAAUUCUUGAGGUUAUAGUGCAAGGUUUUUUAGAGGAUUUUGAAACUUAUCUAUCAACCUUU
rnacentral:lncRNA from 1 species